rnacentral:rRNA from 1 species
UACGAAGGUCCCGAGCGUUGUUCGGAAUCACUGGGCGUAAAGGGAGCGUAGGCGGCGUGGCAAGUCAGACGUGAAAUCCCGGGGCUCAACCCCGGAACUGCGUCCGAUACUGCCAUGCUCGAGCAUUGGAGAGGCAGCUGGAAUUCUUGGUGUAGCAGUGAAAUGCGUGGAUAUCAAGAGGAACACUCGUGGCGAAAGCGAGCUGCUGGACAAUUGCUGACGCUGAGGCUCGAAGGCCGGGGGAGCGAAAGGG